UUCCUCGUCGGAUCUUUCAGAUUUCAUCAAAUCUGGGGCAGAAUAAUUUAAAAAAAAAUUAGUCUAUAUAUGUUUCAGAUCUAAGUCCCUAGAUCUAAUCUUCAUAUUUGAUAUUAAGUCUAAAAUAAAUCUAAAAUGGAUGAGGAAAUAAGUAAUACCUCAGGGUAAUUUGAUUACCCUGUAGAUGAUCUCUACAUAGCCC
rnacentral:lncRNA from 1 species